GUGAAUCAUCAAAUCUUUGAACGCAAACUGCACUCUCUGGUAUUCCGGAGAGUAUGCCUGUUUGAGGGUCAGUUUAAAUAAAAAUCGGUGUGGUUGCUGCCUUUCGUGGUGACGCACCGGAUUUGGGUCGUCUUGCCUUCGGUUAAGUGACCUAAAAUUUUGCAUGAUUUUUUUCGAAAGGUAUUUAAUGGUUUUUAGGUAGGUUUGGGAUUUAGAUACUUGGUGGUGGUAUCC
rnacentral:misc_RNA from 1 species